UGAAAACAAGCUAAAAAGCAUUUCAUUUACACUGAAAAGUUACUUGUAUUAAACAAGGUUUUCAA
rnacentral:tRNA from 1 species